rnacentral:rRNA from 1 species
GGGGUUUCCCCCUUAGGCGCCAGUAACCCUUAACCCUCCCCUGGGGGUCGUGCAAGUUUAAACUAAAAGAAUGAGGGGGCCCCCCCACGUGGGCUUUUUUAAUGGAAAACGCAAAACCUUACCAGUCUUGCCUCCUAGACUUCAAAAGUAGGAGUCCUUUGGAGAGAUCACAGUGAGCAUGGUUUUUCAGUCGGUCGUAAGAGUGGGUUAGUCCGCAACGAGGCACCCUGGAUUUUAUUCCAGCAUCAAUUGGAAUUUAAAGUGAUGCCGGUGCCAACCGGAGGAAGGUGGGAUGAGUCAAGCAUCCUGCCCCUUAUGGCCUGGGCUACACACGUGCUACAAUGACAGAACAAAGGGCAGCGAAACCGGGAGGUUAAGCCAAUCCCACAAAUAUGUUUUCAGUUCGGAUCGCAGUUUGCAACUUGGCUGCGUGAAGCUGGAAUCGCUAGUAAUCGCGGAUCAGCAUGCCGCGGGAAUACGUUCCCGGGCCUUUACACCACGCCCGUUACACCAGGGGGGAGUUUGGUAAACCACCU